rnacentral:rRNA from 1 species
AUGGAUCUCCUCCGCGCGAACCUCCACAAGGUCCGCAUCCCGGAGCCCACCAACCGCAUCCACAAGGACGAGUGCUGCGUCUCCUUCGACACCCCGAGGUCGGAGGGUGGGCUGUACGUGGACAUGAACUCGUUCCUGGGGUUCGGGAGGGAGCACGUGGCGUGGAACUUCGAGAAGUCGGAGAACCCCGUGUACCUCCACAUCGUGCAGCGCCGGAAGCCGGAGCCAGACGAGACGGAUCGCCCGCUGAAGAAGCCAACCCUGCUCGCCAUCGGCAUGGAGGGAGGUUUUGGUGAACAAGAACCUGAAUACGAUGUGACUUACAAAAUCGUUAUUUUGCCUGAAUUUUUGUCUCUCCCAUUUCCAUCAGUUGAUUUGCCAGAGAAGGUUAGGCUCGCAGUUGAUAAAGUUAUACUUGCGGAGAGUGCUGAUAGAAAGCAACAACUGGCUUCUUGGGUGGCUGACAAGAAAAUAAUCAGUGCACAUGCUAUGGAUCUGCAACAACUAGACAAUGGUGUUAUUGUGCCCCCUACCGGGUGGAAGUGUAGCAAGUGUGACAAAACUGAGAAUCUUUGGUUAAAUUUAACUGAUGGUAUGAUCCUCUGUGGGAGGUGGGUCUGGGAUGGAACUGGCGGGAAUAAUCAUGCUGUUGAACACUACCAGCAGACUAAAUAUCCUUUAGCGGUGAAGCUUGGAACAAUUACCGCUGAUUUGGAAGGAGCAGACGUUUACUCAUACCCGGAAGAUGAUAGCGUUGAAGAUCCAAUAUUAGCUCAGCACUUGUCGCAUUUUGGUAUUGAUUUUUCUUCACUCCAGAAGACUGAGAUGACUACUGCUGAAAGAGAACUUGACCACAACACUAAUUUUGAUUGGAAUAGAAUACAAGAAAGUGGCAAAGAUGCCGAACCUUUAUAUGGGCCUGGCUAUACUGGCCUUGUAAACCUUGGAAAUAGUUGCUACAUGGCCUCAGUAAUGCAAGUUAUGUUUUCAACCCAUCCCUUUAUAUCACGGUACUUUGAGAAGCAGAGCUUGAAAGCUGCGUUUGCAAUUUCUAAAGCUGAUCCAACGUUGGACUUAAACAUGCAAAUGACAAAGUUGGCGCAUGGUAUGCUCUCUGGUAAAUAUUCUGCACCCAGUCAAGAGGGACAAGAAGGAAUACGCCCCCGUAUGCUCAAGUCAGUAAUUGCAGCAAGUCAUCCUGAAUUUUCCAGUAUGAGGCAACAGGAUGCCCUUGAGUUCUUCCAUCAUCUUAUUGACAAAGUUGAUCAGGCAAACCCUGGAAACCAUGAGUUGAAUCCUUGUACCGGCUUCAAGUUCAUCAUCGAGGAGCGGGUUCAGUGCCCCUCUGGGAAAGUUUCUUAUAAUCAACAUUGUGACAACUUCCUUACUUUGAGCAUACCAUUGCAUGAAGCGACUAACAAAGAGCAGCUAGAAGCGUUCCAUGAGAAGAAAGCAGCAAUGGACUUGGAUGGAAAGGAAGUGUCUAAGGAGGAAAUCGUGAGGCCAAGAGUCCCACUGGAGGCAUGCUUAGCAAGUUUUUCAGGCGGAGAGGAAGUGCCUGAGUUUUACAGCACUGCAUUAAAUUCAAAGACGACAGCAAUUAAGACUACUGGCCUUAAAACUUUUCCUGAUUACCUGGUGCUUCAGAUGCGUAAGUUUGUAAUGGGAGAAGGAUGGGUGCCAAAGAAACUUGAUGUUUAUAUUGAUGUGCCGGAUAUAAUCGAUAUAUCGCACAUGCGCAGCAAUGGUGUACAGCCUGGGGAAGAGCUACUGCCUGAAGGAGCUUCUUGUGGCAACAAAGCUGAACCUGCUCGUCCUGUUGCCGACGAGGAUAUUGUAUCCCAGCUUGCAAACACGGGGUUCAAUUACUUUGCCUGUCAGAAAGCUGCUAUUAAUACAUCAAAUGCAGGAAUUGAGGAGGCAAUGGAUUGGCUCCUCUCACACACGGGGGAUCCAGAUAUUAAUGAGCCGAUAUCUCAAGAUCCAAUGCCUGCAGAAGACACUAUUGAUGAAGCAAGUCUUCAAACCCUUGUUUCCUUUGGCUUUCCAGAAGAUGUUUCUCGAAUGGCCUUGAAAGCUUCUGGUGGAAAUAUUGAGAGAGCCACGGAGUGGGUUUUCAGCCACCCUGAAGCAUCUAGUUCUGUAUCUGCUGAUUCUUCAACAAACAAUGUAAAAGAUGACGACUCGAACAUAUCAGAUGGAAGUGGCAGAUACAAGCUGAUGGCAUUUGUGAGCCACAUGGGAACCUCUACACACUGUGGGCACUAUGUCGCCCAUAUCCUCAAAGAUGGGAGGUGGACGAUCUUCAACGACAAUAAGGUUGCUGCAUCGGUCGACCUGCCCAAGGACAUGGGAUACCUCUAUUUCUUUCAGAGGAUAAGCAGUUAG